UCGUAUUUCUACGUCCUUAAUAUAACGCGAUAACGCCUAUUUCACGAAAACAUCUGCGUAACAAACAUUGGGAUAUAAAAAAAACCCGAACGCGUUAUACCACGAUAAGCUAUUAUUAUAUUGACGUUAAGUCUCGAGAACAACCAGACACUAUUAGCACUUAUAAGAGAACGGACGUUUGAGUAAACAAGAUUUCUGUUGAAUUCAUAAACAUUUACGUUACGGGACAGGAAUUAAAGUGAGUAGUGAAUUUCCAUUAUCCAACUACACAUGAAGAUCGUACAGUUGAUAGUGUAGUUUAAUAUAUUUUGUGGCAAUGAAGAUUAUUUUUGUUUCGGAAAUCAAAUUGAGGUCAACUCUUAAUUUAUAGUAAUCGACUAACUGUGUAGAAAUGGCGAAGUGUUGUGUUUUGAUAGCUUUGUUGAUGAUUGCUUUGCAAGUGAAUAACGCCCGAAACAUCGGAUCAGCUCUAGUCAAGGUCGGAGACAACAACAAUACGUCUACACCAUACAUGACAUACGAGGAAUUAGUGUACAUCCUCAAAUUCAGACAUGGUGAGGAAAAUGCAAAACCGAAGCAUUUAACACCGUGUGCUCGAGCAAUUUUAGGAUGUUGUAAUAACAGGAUAAUGAAUGAAUAUUGCUCUGAAUCCUUAAAGUGUGGAUCCUAUUUCUUUGACGACAAUCCCUGCGAAGACAAAUUUAUCAUAGACGCUCUGGAAGCAGCGCGAGUAUUUUAUGAACAAUUCAACAGUAUAGCAGCAUAAAUAAGGUUCAAGAUGAAAUAUCAUAAAAAAAUGAAAGGUAACAGGGAAAAUCAGCCAAGGCUAACCUCAAGGAGUUGCGAUGAGGUAAACAUCUGACAGGAUAUUAAUUGGAACUGUUCACGAACAAUACAUAGAACAAAAGAAAAGAAAAAUACAAACCCAUAUUAUUCCAGGAUUCAAUCAAAUAAAUGAUGUAACAAUGUACGACGGAAGGAAAGAGGGAUACAUUACAGAUACAUUCAUACUAAAGGGGACUACGUACAGUGAACAAAGCGAUGGAAUUAAAGUACAGAUUUGAAUUUAGGAACCAGGUUUUGCUGACGGUUGGUUGUUACAUUUCAUUAAGAAACCUUGAUGAUAGAAGAAUUUCAAAGCAAAAUUAUGAUUAAGCUAACUAAUUAAAUAUGAUUUUCUUUCGUCGAUUAUUCUCAGGUAUCAAGUUUUUUUGUUCCAAACUUUUGGUAUAUUACAGACAAUCAAUGCGCAAAUCAAAUGCUACAAGAUUAAAUAAAAAAAUUGAUUAAAAAAAUAUAUAAUUUACAUUCAAAUUAAACCAACGAAAAUUUUUACAGUAACUUAUAUAAAACAUAAAACUUAUAUAUUUAUUUUAUAGUACUACUAUGGUAAUUUUAUAAUCCUUAAUGGUUUGUUAGCUAAUUCAAUACAACAACACGUUGUCAGUAUACGUUAAAUAUAUUUUGUUAAAAUCAAUACAAUAUUAGUUAUGUAUUACAAUGGCAAUAAAUCAUUAUUGACAGUGCAUGUGAUUGACAGACAUGUAGUGACGACAAUAUAAGGAAUAGAUUAUAUACAAACUAGCUGCUCCUGCGGCUUUUCUCGCUUGAAAUUUAUAAAACUUUACCUGUAAUUUACCGUCUCACACAACCUCGAGGGGUUAAAUAAAUCGAAAUCAACUGAUUUAGAUGAAAUUUGGAGCGGUUUAAGCGUGAAGAGGUAACGUAGUUACUUUCCUAUCUACAGUAUUAGUAUAUAAACCUAAAUACAUAAACUGUUAUUAUAUUAUCCAUAAUUAAUUACCUACCAAUUUCUUGUUAAAAAUAUGUAUAUCUGCCAUGUUAACGACAUUAUUCUGUGUAUAAAUCGCGGUAGUACCUACCUUACUAGUUUGUAUAAUUUUGUGACAAAAUAUACCGUAUGAAUGAGGUGUGGUGAUAUAAGCUAUUUCUAGUGAGAUAUACUCUUAUAUUUAAGGUUAUUUUUGAAAUUUUAAUAUAUGCUUUAGGUGUGAAAUAACGGACUUAGAAAUCACAUUAGCAGUGAUUUUAAUGCAUGCUUAAAAUUGCGGGAGGCAUCUCCGUUCAAUUUUGUACCCAAAGUUAUCUUAUAACGCCUUCAUUCUGUCAUACCAUUCAUUCUCACUGUAAAUAAUGUAAAAGUUAUAAAAAUGAAUUGUGUUCUCAAUCCACUUACUAUAUAAGAAGCUAAGAUAAUUCUUCAAAUAAAUGACGAAUUGAAAUUGACCCGAAUUAAAAUAAAUUACACAACAAAUAUCAAAUUAUACGCCUGAAUAUUUCUAACCAAAGCCUCAUAAAAGCGAACGAGGAAAAUAUUGAAUAUGGAGAAAAACAUCGACGGUAACUAAGGGCGAUUUUCGACGAUAUAACUUAGAUUUUUGUGAUAUUAGAUGUCGUACACACGUGCGAUACGUGAUAAGUGUUAGCAAUAAAAUGCUUUAAGUA